AUGGAGGCGGCCUUGGCGGAGUUCGAGUGCCUAGGGUCGGCCGGUCCCAUAACCGCGGUGGCGAACGAGUUCCUGCGCGAGCAGACCCCGCACAACGAGAACGAGUCGGAAGAGCAGCUCCGCCGCCUGUUCAACCCCGCCUCCUACGCCCUCCCCGUCGGCCCGCCCGUCUCCGCCGCCGCCAGACUCUUCGCCCUGCCACCCGACGACGACGUCGACCGUGUCAGCCGCCUCCCCGACGCGCUCCUCCGCGACGUCGUCUCCCGCCUCCCCGUCAAGGACGCCGCGCGCACGGCCGCGCUCUCCCACCGCUGGCGCGGGGUCUGGCGCUCCACGCCGCUCGUCCUCCACGACGCCGACCUCCUCCCCGACACCUCCGCCGUGUCCCUCGUCCUCGACGCGCACCCGGGGCCCUUCCGCUGCGUCCACCUCACCAGCACCCGCUCGCAGGGCUUCCGCGGCCUGCUCGCGCGGUGGCUCCGGCUCCUCGCCGCCAAGGGCGUCCAGGAGCUCGUCCUCAUCAACUGCCGCUGGCCGCUCGACUACGUCCUCCCCGCCAGCCUCCUGGGCCUGACCACCCUCACCCGCCUGUAUCUCGGCAUGUGGAGGUUCCCCGACACGGUCGGCCUCCCGCGCGCCACCUGCUUCCGCAAUCUCCGUGACCUCGGCCUCCACAACGUCCUGGUGGAGAGAAGGGAUCUGGACUUCAUCCUCGACAGGAGCCCCGUGCUGGAGACGCUCUGUGUCCAGGGCAAUGUGCUCAAGCUUCGCAUCCGGCUCGUCAGCCAGAGCCUCCGGUGCGUGAAGAUCAUCGGGUGCUUCAUCGAAGAGAUAUUCGUGUUGGACGCCCCAAAUCUUGAGCGGUUCAUCUAUUUUGAUGCUUGGCACCCUGUUGGCAACUGCACCACCACGGUCAAGAUCGGCCAUGCCCCCAAGCUGCACUUGUUGGGAUACUUGGCUUUGGACCCACGAAAGCAUGUCCUAGAUGUGGGCAACACCAUCAUCAAGGCUGGGAUAGGGAUGAGCCCAAGCACCAUGCUACCAGGUGUGAAAAUCCUGGCUUUGGAGGUGCGUUUCGCAGUCCGCAAUGAUGUCAAGAUGAUCCCCAAUGUCCUCAGAUGCUUUCCGAAUGUCGAGGCACUCCACAUCAUGUCUGGAAAAGAUGAUCAAUCUACUGGCAAGCUCAACCUGAAGUUCUGGCACAAGUCCGGUGUCAUAGAAUGCAUACGGUCGCGCAUAAAGCUGCUGGUUGUCCGGGAUUUCAAAGGGGGGCGAAGCGAGAUGGCCUUCCUCAAAUUCUUCUUUCAGACUGCGUUGGUGCUGGAGGAGGUGGUGAUUCUGUUGCCCGAUGAUCCGACGGAUCAUAUGUAUCGCAAGGUGGUGUCCCUGAGGCACAUCGAACGGGCCAGUGAAGCGUCCUUACUGUGGGCAAGCAAGUCUGUUCCUCGAGGCUUCCUUCGGAGCGUCGAGAGAGCAUCUGAUUUCUCCCUCGACGACCCUUUUGCCAACUACUGUCGCAUUGGGUUGCAUCGCCUCGGCUAUCAUCAUGAGGACUCAUGUACAGAGUACAUUAUGAAUUUACAAAGCCCUCAAGCAGUACAUCAUGAAGCAAUUGCAUAA
rnacentral:rRNA from 1 species